ensembl:lncRNA LINC02790 long intergenic non-protein coding RNA 2790
AGAUCACAAUGUGGGAGUCCACUGCAAUAAUCCAGGAGAGAAAUCAUGUGAGCUUGAGAAGGAAUCAGAUUCUGCAUAUAUUUCCAAGUUAACAUGAACAAGAUUUUCUGAAAGACUGCUAUGGAGUCUGAGAAAAAAUGUCAAAGGUAGUGCCAAAAUUGUCACUUAAAGAACUGCAGGAAUGGAGUUGGCAUUUACAGAAUUUGGAAGAGAAGCAGGUUUAGUGAUAAAGACCAGAAGCACAGAGCUAAGCAUAUUAAAUGUGAGUUGUCUAUUAGGCAUUCAAGAAGACAUAUAGAGUGGGCAGUGGCUAUAUGAGGCUAGAGUUCUGGGAAGGCUGGGCUGAUGACAGAAAUGUAUUAGUCAUUAACAUUUAUGUGUGUGUGUACACAUAUGCACAUGAACACUGGAUAUGCGAAUGCACAGAUUGAGGACAUGAAGAGGAAAGAACUGACAGAGGAGGUGAAGAAAGGUGAUCAGGAAGAGCCAUCAAAGUGUUAUCCUGGAAUUCAAGUGAAGACAGUGUUUCAAAGUGGAAAUGAACAGUGUCCUGUAACCCUCAGAGUGAGACUAGAGUCAGAAUGCAGGCUUUUCUCAUUUGAAAUCUAUAUGCCACAGAGAGGAUCCAGAGAGCCCAUCUCCGGUCAGUUAUCUGUAUUUGUAUGUCAACUACAGCAUCAAAAAGCAUAGGCAUGGAUACUAAGGACCCCCUCUGUACACCAACGCCAGUCCAAAGGACAGUGUGUCACUGUGAACUGGAAAUUCAUCUCUCUUCUUCAAUUUUUUUCUACCUACUUUAUGCUUUAUCUCUAAGUUGAGGCUGUUUAUGGCCUCAUCCUCAAUUACCUUGUCCCUCAUUACUCCCAGUUAAUGGAGAUUAAGCUUUGUAUCAUGACUUCCUAACUAAAAUUGAAAUCACAAGACAUCACAUAAAUAAAGUUACAAAUGGAUUAGAUAAACA